rnacentral:rRNA from 1 species
AUUGAACGCUGGCGGAAUGCUUUACACAUGCAAGUCGAACGGCAGCACGGACUUCGGUCUGGUGGCGAGUGGCGAACGGGUGAGUAAUACAUCGGAACGUGCCCAAUCGUGGGGGAUAACGUAGCGAAAGCUACGCUAAUACCGCAUACGAUCUAAGGAUGAAAGCGGGGGAUCGCAAGACCUCGCGCGAUUGGAGCGGCCGAUGGCAGAUUAGGUAGUUGGUAGGGUAAAGGCCUACCAAGCCGACGAUCUGUAGCUAGUCUGAGAGGAUGAUCAGCCACACUGGGACUGAGACACGGCCCAGACUCCUACGGGAGGCAGCAGUGGGGAAUUUUGGACAAUGGACGCAAGUCUGAUCCAGCCAUUCCGCGUGCAGGAUGAAGGCCCUCGGGUUGUAAACUGCUUUUGUACAGAACGAAAAGGCUCUGGUUAAUACCUAGGGCUCAUGACGGUACUGUAAGAAUAAGCACCGGCUAACUACGUGCCAGCCGCCGCGGUAAUAC